rnacentral:rRNA from 1 species
UACGUAGGUGGCGAGCGUUAUCCGGAAUUAUUGGGCGUAAAGAGCGCGCAGGUGGUUGAUUAAGUCUGAUGUGAAAGCCCACGGCUUAACCGUGGAGGGUCAUUGGAAACUGGUCGACUUGAGUGCAGAAGAGGGAAGUGGAAUUCCAUGUGUAGCGGUGAAAUGCGUAGAGAUAUGGAGGAACACCAGUGGCGAAGGCGGCUUCCUGGUCUGUAACUGACACUGAGGCGCGAAAGCGUGGGGAGCAAGCAGGAUUA